UGGGGAAUUUUGGACAAUGGGCGAAAGCCUGAUCCAGCAAUGCCGCGUGUGUGAAGAAGGCCUUCGGGUUGUAAAGCACUUUUGUCCGGAAAGAAAUCCUUGGCUCUAAUACAGUCGGGGGAUGACGGUACCGGAAGAAUAAGCACCGGCUAACUACGUGCCAGCAGCCGCGGUAAUACGUAGGGUGCAAGCGUUAAUCGAAAUUACUGGGCGUAAAGCGUGCGCAGGCGGUUUGCUAAGACCGAUGUGAAAUCCCCGGGCUCAACCUGGGAACUGCAUUGGUGACUGGCAGGCUAGAGUAUGGCAGAGGGGGGUAGAAUUCCACGUGUAGCAGUGAAAUGCGUAGAGAUGUGGAGGAAUACCGAUUGCGAAGGCAGCCCCCUGGGCCAAUACUGACGCUCAUGCACGAAAGCGUGGGGAGCAAACAGGAUUAGAUACCCUGGUAGUCCACGCCCUAAACGAUGUCAACUAGUUGUUGGGGAUUCAUUUCCUUAGUAACGUAGCUAACGCGUGAGGUUGACCGCCUGGGGAGUACGGUCGCAAGAUUAAAACUUAAAGGAAUUGACGGGGUCAUAGCUG
rnacentral:rRNA from 1 species